AUGAACGCUGGCGGCGUGCCUAAUACAUGCAAGUCGAGCGAACAGACGAGGAGCUUGCUCCUCUGACGUUAGCGGCGGACGGGUGAGUAACACGUGGAUAACCUACCUAUAAGACUGGGAUAACUUCGGGAAACCGGAGCUAAUACCGGAUAAUAUAUUUAACCGCAUGGUUCAAUAGUGAAAGACGGUUUUGCUGUCACUUAUAGAUGGAUCCGCCCGGCAUUAACUAGUUGGUAAGGUAACGGCUUACCAAGGCGACGAUGCGUAGCCGAGCUGAGAGGGGGAGCGCGCACACAGGAACAGAGACACGCGCCAGACCCUAAGGGGGGGGAGAGGGGGGGAAUAUUCCGCAAGGGGGGAAAACGUGCGAGGGAACGGCGGCGGGGGUGAGAAAGGUCCUUGGUUGGUAAAACUCUUUUUUUAGGGAAAAACAAAUGUGAAAGUAAUUUUGCACGUCUGGCGGGAACUGAAUAAGAAACCCCGGCUAACUACGGG
rnacentral:rRNA from 1 species